rnacentral:rRNA from 1 species
GACGAACGCUGGCGGCGCGCUUAACACAUGCAAGUCGAGCGGUAAGGCUCCUUCGGGAGUACACGAGCGGCGCACGGGUGAGUAACACGUGAGUAAUCUGCCCUUCACUUCGGGAUAACCACCGGAAACGGUGGCUAAUACCGAAUACGACCAGUCUUCGCAUGAGGUGCUGGUGGAAAGUCUUUUCGGUGAAGGAUGUGCUCGCGGCCUAUCAGCUUGUUGGUGGGGUAAUGGCCUACCAAGGCUUCGACGGGUAGCCGGCCUGAGAGGGUGACCGGCCACACUGGGACUGAGACACGGCCCAGACUCCUACGGGAGGCAGCAGUGGGGAAUAUUGGACAAUGGGCGAAAGCCUGAUCCAGCAACGCCGCGUGAGGGAUGACGGCCUUCGGGUUGUAAACCUCUUUCAGUACCGACGAAGCGCCCUGUCGGGUGGUGACGGUAGGUACAGAAGAAGGACCGGCCAACUACGUG